rnacentral:rRNA from 1 species
UGAACGCUGGCGGCGUGCUUAACACAUGCAAGUCGAGCGAAGCAACAGUCUGUAGCAAUACAGAUAUGUGCUUAGCGGCAGACGGGUGAGUAACACGUAGAUAACCUUCCCUCCAAAGGGGGAUAGCCCACCGAAAGGUGGGGUAAUACCCCGUAUGAUCACAGGUUGGCAUCAACCAGGGAUAAAACAUCCGCAAGGAUGGAUGGAGGACGGAUCUGCGGCCUAUCAGCUAGUUGGCGGGGUAAAGGCCCACCAAGGCUACGACGGGUAUCCGACCUGAAAGGGUGACCGGACACACUGACACUGAGACACGGGUCAGACUCCUACGGGAGGCAGCAGUGAGGAAUUUUGGACAAUGGGGGAAACCCUGAUCCAGCGACGCCGCGUGGAGGACGAAGGUCUUCGGAUUGUAAACUCCUUUUGCCGGGGAACAAGAACUUUAUGGAAACAUAGAGCGUGAGUGUACCCGGAGAAUAAGCCACGGCUAACUUC